GUCAUCGGGAUUAUAAAAGCGCGCGCGCCGCACGUUACAGCCUCUUUCCCUGCGGUCAGCGUGCUUUAACUUCGUGCGUAUCUAGUUUCCGUGUCGAGGUGACUGUUGGGCCCUCGUUUGUGAGCAGCCAAGAUGCGGGCGGCACAAGACCGUUGCGGUGCAGGCCGCCGGCCGUCAGCAGCACAGAAGCCUGGCGAGGGCUAGCACGCGGGCCACAGCCAUGAGAAGCCGACCCCGUCCGUGUUGAGCGGAAACACCCGAGGACCUCCGCCGUCACGGAUGGUAACACCGGAACUCAUUGCUGUUUGGUGAUGGAAGGCACGUUCAGGUAUUGUUAAAGCAAAGUAGUAGUGGCUAAGAUCUUCCGGGCACUUUACAGGGGUCUUCGCAUUUAAAUCUUGGUAAUGGGCAUUGUGAAUGUUAAUAAAGCACUGUUUUCAGUGGCUGGCCGUUAUUUCAUAUGAAGUUUUUAAUAAGCCAAAUAAAGUUGAUGGUUAAUAA